rnacentral:rRNA from 1 species
CAAUAGCGUAUAUUAAAGUUGUUGCAGUUAAAACGCUCGUAGUCGGAUUUCGGGGCGGGCCUGCCGGUCUGCCGAUCGGUACGCACUGGCGGGCGCGUCCUUCCUUCCGGAGACCGCGCCUCCUCUUAACUGAGCGGGCGUGGGAGACGGAUCGUUUACUUUGAAAAAAUCAGAGUGUUUCAAGCAGGCAGCUCGCUCUUGCAUGGAUUAGCAUGGGAUAAUGAAAUAGGACUCUGGUGCUAUUUUGUUGGUUUCGAACACCGGAGUAAUGGUCAACAGGGACAGUCAGGGGCACUCGUAUUCCGCCGAGAGAGGUGAAAUUCUCAGACCAGCGGAAGACGAACCACUGCGAAAGCAUUUGCCAGGGAUGUUUNCACUGA